rnacentral:rRNA from 1 species
CCUACGGGCGGCUGCAGUGGGGAAUAUUGGACAAUGGGGGCAACCCUGAUCCAGCCAUGCCGCGUGAGUGAUGAAGGCCCUAGGGUUGUAAAGCUCUUUUGUGCGGGAAGAUAAUGACGGUACCGCAAGAAUAAGCCCCGGCUAACUUCGUGCCAGCAGCCGCGGUAAUACGAAGGGGGCUAGCGUUGCUCGGAAUCACUGGGCGUAAAGGGUGCGUAGGCGGGUCUUUAAGUCAGAGGUGAAAUCCUGGAGCUCAACUCCAGAACUGCCUUUGAUACUGAGGAUCUUGAGUCCGGAAGAGGUGAGUGGAACUGCGAGUGUAGAGGUGAAAUUCGUAGAUAUUCGCAAGAACACCAGUGGCGAAGGCAGUUACCUGGCUCAAUACUGACGCUAAAGCACGAAAGUGUGGGGAGCAAACAGGAUUAGAUACCCGGGUAGUC